UUUUUGUAGUUUCAGCCACACCCAUAACACACCCAGUCAAGGAAGAUAUAAAUGAGAAGCUCAACUCAGCUCUCAGCCAAGUCCUUCCUGGCAAGAUGAAGUCCACCAUCUUCUUCAUCCUUGCUCUGCUCCUCAUUCUGGAGAACCAAGUAUCUGGGAGGAGACUGCGUGGUCCUAGUAGAGCACAAGAUCCUCUGAUAAGCCAUGUGUGGCACAAAGAAGUGGAAGAAUCAGAAUCAAGCCGAGGUCAAGAUUUUGAUAAACUCCACUUUUGGGAGAAAGAUGAUCCCACAGGAGAACGAGUUUCAGUUAGGCAUGAACAUCUUGAGAAAAGUCACAUUCGGUUCAAAGAAGAUUCCAUGGAUGACUCAGGUUCAGCUGGAGAUCUCGAUCCUUUAAAAGGACACCUUCAGCUCAAACAACACGAUUCCAUGGAAGAACUCGUUUCAGUUGAAGCUCGAGAUUCAGCUAACGGUAUAGAUCCUGGGAAAAGUCACAUUCAGUGUGUUUGAACCUUUAAGGUGAAUCCUGUCUUAGCUGUACCUGUCCUUGGCCCAGGCCUGCAGGCCUCCCUGUAAUCCCAGCUGCCGGUAGCACUACAGUUUCACUCGCUGCCCAUUCUUCCAUUCUGGAUGCCCAAGCAGGUCACUGCCUUUCUCAUCUA